AAAAUUGUAUAGUUAUUAGGCCGGAGUAGUAUUAGUUAAGGUCUUGAAACUCAAAAAAUUUGGCGGUAUUUUAGUCUAUUUAGAGGAACCUGUAGUAUAAUCGAUAAUCCACGAUGGACCUCACUUAGUUUUGUUUUUCAGUUUGUAUACCGCUGUUAUUUGAAGAUUUUAUAAGAAUAGUAAUUUUCAUAAUUUUAAAUUAAAAAAUAUAUCAGGUCAAGGUGCAGCUUAUAAUUAAGAAUUUAUGGGUUACAAUAAAGUUAUUUAUACGGAUAAAUAUAUGAAAUUAUUUUUUUAAGGUGGAUUUAAUAGUAAAUUUUUAUAGAUAAAAGAAUUGAUU
rnacentral:rRNA from 1 species